CUACAAGAAAUCGCUUGAUUACCGACCAUAUUUACCGACCGCCAUUAAAGUGGUUGGUAAAACUAAAUUUACCAACCAAAAAUAAAGCAGUCGGUAAUUUAUCGACCGAUAUAGAAGCGGUCGUUAUUUUUUAAAUUUACCGACCGCUUCUAAAGCAGUCAACAAAUUAACGACUGCUUUUCUAAGCUUUUCGACUACUUAAUAGUCAGUAAAAAUCUGAUUAGUUCCAAAAUAUAUUUAAAAUUUUACCAACCGCUUAUUGAAUAAAUCCGACCGGUAUUAGCGGUCGUUAUUUAUUUCAAAAAAAAUUUGUAGCAUCUUCAAUUAUUGAAUUGGGUUUAGUCGACCAACUGAACUCCUCAUUGUACAUUCGGAAAAAGAAAAAAAAAAUGCACGGAGCAACAGGGGAUUACUCGACCAACGAAUUGGGUGAAGCCAGCAAUCUUUUUACCGACCGCUCAUACAAUAGUCGGUAAAAAGAGAUUUUCCGACCGAACAACAGGUAGUCGGUAAAAAAUUAUUUACCAACCGCCCAAGCAGUCGGUAAAAAGUUAUUUAACGACUGACAAGUAAGUAGUCGGUAAAAAAUUAUUUACCGUCCACCAAAGCAGUCGGUAAAUAAUUAUUUAACGACCGCUUAAUUAGUAGUCGGUAAAAGGUCAUUUACCAACUACAAUAACGAUUGGUAAAGUAGCCACUUUUCCAAAAAAAAUUGUCGAUUGCUCUUCACUAAACAAACCCUAAAACAAACCCUUGCCUGCCUCUUUCUCACAGCCGCUCAAAGUCUUCUCUCACCUACCUCAUCUCUUUCUCUCACUUGUCUCCUCCCCCUUUCUCUGGAUCCCCCAUCUUUCUCUCACCUUACCUCCAUCUUAUUCUCUCUGAUUCUCUCAUCCUCUCAGACUCUCAUCUCCAUUUAUUCAUUUCUUGUUACUUCUCUCUCAUUCUCUUCUCAACCAUACAAAACACAAUAAUAAAUAACAAAAUCAAAACAAUAUAAAUAAAAACUUACAAGAAGAACAAGUUUGGGUGUUUGUGUUGAUUUUUGAAAGGUUGGUCUUUGGAGAUUUGUCCUCUUCAUCUCUUUUCGUUUGCCCAUGGAGAUUUCGAAAGGGCCGUGGUGAUUGGGGGCGAGAAAUCACGUCGACGAUAGCGUCUCCGUUCAGGUUCUAUUGUUGCAGCUUAGGCGUUUCUUUGGGCACAUAUCAACUACCCUUUUCUUAUGGAAGAAUUCCCUUAUUUAAGGAUUCUGAGGCAAAAUGUCAAUCUUCUUGGUGAUUUUGUUUAAUUUAGGUGGUUGUAAAUUAAGUUAGAUUUCUUAAUUUUUUGGAUGUAAUUAUAUUGGUUAUUUAAUUUAUUAAACAUUUAUUUUUAGUGAUUAAAUUUUUUGGUUGA